rnacentral:lncRNA from 1 species
CUGAAAUAAUCUAUCCUAUUUCUUCAGAGCCUGCAGGGUCUGUGCCUCAGAAAGGGGUUUCUGUUAAAAGAGGAACAUUCUUGAGCAUGGUUAUUCUUCCCCAGCUCCUCAAGAAGAGGCAUCCCCCAGAUUUAGUUUGCAGAUAUCUUUCCCAACUCUUACCUCCCAUGCGCACUUUCGAUAAAACAGCUUGGAUACCGCUUCUUGGAAUGAUGAUACUGAUGUUGCAUCUUCCUUCACCAGCUUUGAGCUUUGGAGAUCGCAGCAGAGGUAGUUACUGGAAGACAAUCUCAGGCCCACAUUGAUCAUGGAAGUCUAGCUUUUAAAGAUAAGUGAGCCAACCAAGCUGUAAGGCUAAUCACCCUGUGCAAGUAUGAAUUUAUCUAAAGAGGAUUUCAUGUGGAACCCCCGGAGCCGGCCGCCAAACGGAUGACUGCACACUUUAAGAAAGUUCGUGGGACUUCUCCCAAUCAACUGUCAGGCCACAUAAAGGGUCUGGAACGCGCUGACUUAAGCAAAUAAUAUUUAGCCAUCUAAGGAUACCGUAAGGCCCAAGAUUUUGCUUUGUUGGCGCUGACAGGAAAUAUUGAUACAUAUCAAGUAACACUCCUGAUGCAAAAAGCGAUAUGUGUCUCCUUUCGGCACUAUCUCUGUUUAGGAAACACCUUGCUUUAAAAGAAAGCACAGGUGGGGGCAGGGACAAUGUCAAACCCAGCACUUCACUGGGUUUUCCAGCUUUCCUGGGAUCACAAUUUCAUGAAAAUAGGAACUAAGCAAAAGUCGUCUCCUUUUUGAAAAAAACCAAAUGUAUUGGAAUUUGAAUUUGCAAACUCUCAGAAUGUCUAGCUGACAAGUGAACCCUGCCCAUAACCCCAAAACUAUUCCUUAAGUUUAUUAACCUAGGAAACCUGCCACUGAUUAGGUUUGGGUGUGUUUCUCAGCUUUUACAAUAGUCUAAACUAUAUUACAACUAUGUGGUUACAGGGCCUAAAAAGUAAAUUGAAAUAUGUGGCUAUUAAGUCGCAAAUCCCCUCAAUAGGACAUGUGAGUCAAAACUCAAUUUUUUGUGAGAAGUAAUGUCUGUAAUCCUAUUGACUCAUCAUUUUUAGACAUUUGUGGCUUUAAUUACAGGGGAAAAACUGUAAUGUCCUGUCUUGGGAAAAUUUGAUAGGGAACAUCGGGCUGUUACCAUAGAAUAAAGGUUGCGUUGGAGGAUUUAAUUUAAAAAGGAAAAAGAAAGAACCCUAUUUUAUCAGAAUACUCUAAACAUUCUCCAUCAGUAACGUUGUGCCUGAGGUGAUAUCCUUGAAGAUGCUGGAGGUGGCGGUGUUAAUGAAAUACCCGUUGGCAUUAAAUAGCAUUUCUAGAAUCCUGAUUGUAGCGCUAAAAAGGAAAGUGAAUUUUCUAACAGCACAAUAAACAAGGGGAAUUACGAAAAAAGAAUCCGCUGGUUCUGUAAGGAAGAUCGCUUCCAGUUAAACAAAGAAAUUUAGGGUCGUCUGCUUUUCAUGAAAAUCACAUACAUAUGGCCUUUGAAAUUUGUCACUGAAGAUGGUUUUGCUCUAAGGUAAAAUUCACCACUUUAUAGCUUUUCAGCCGCAAGUCUCUGGAUUUUUUUUCUUCUCUCUUUUGGCCUGCAGCCCAAUAUGAAUGUAUGAUCACUAGCACAAGAGUUAAACAUCUGAGUCUUUUUGAAGUGUCUUCAAUGUUACAAUGAUGUGAUGGUUGAUUGCCUAGCAGUCAGUUUAGAAAAGUCUGCAUUCUGCCCCCUAGUGGUAGAGAUUAAAGUUUAAUGGCUGCUUCAUAACACGUAAUGCCUUUUUCCCUCCUUUUCCAUAUGUUAAGGAUAUAGAGCAGUGUGGGAAUUACUGAUGAGUUUUGUCAUAAUCUGUAAAGUGUAUAUUUUAAGCAGGAAAAUUUCUAGACUGAAUGGACAGGUUUACGAGGCACAGGGUCAUUUGAUGUAUGUUUUGUGUACUCUGCUGUGCUUUGCCAAACAAUAUACAUCACCACUAUAAACAGACAUUGUCCCUAAUACAACAUUCCUUCUGGGAAAAUUUUGGGACUUCUUAAUAGAAGCUAUUAACCAAAAAGUGCAUGGUGUUGCCAAAAUUAUAAUAUUAUACACACACACACACACACACACACACACACACACAUAUAUUCAGAGAAAGCAUGGUAUACUGUCAGAUACUGUGGAACUUCACAUUUCUUUUCAGAUGACCAUUUUUUGUACAGGAGG